AUUGAACGCUGGCGGAAUGCUUUACACAUGCAAGUCGAACGGCAGCACGGGGGCAGCCCUGGUGGCGUGUGGCGAACGGGUGAGUAAUACAUCGGAACGUGCCCGGUCGUGGGGGAUAACGUAGCGAAAGUUACGCUAAUACCGCAUACGAUCUGAGGAUGAAAGCGGGGGACCUUCGGGCCUCGCGCGAUCGGCGCGCCCGAUGUCAGAUUAGGUAGUUGGUGGGGUAAAGGCCUACCAAGACGACGAUCUGUAGCUGGUCUGAGAGGACGACCAGCCACACUGGGACUGAGACACGGCCCAGACUCCUACGGGAGGCAGCAGUGGGGAAUUUUGGACAAUGGGCGCAAGCCUGAUCCAGCCAUUCCGCGUGCAGGACGAAGGCCUUCGGGUUGUAAACUGCUUUUGUAAGGAACGAAAAGGCUCGGGCUAAUACCUGGGGCUCAUGACGGUACCGUAAGAAUAAGCACCGGCUAACUACGUG
rnacentral:rRNA from 1 species